AGUGUCGGGUACAGGGUCGGAAGCGAGGCCAGGCCGGGCCAGGGUGGGCAGUAGCCUGUGUCCUGCAGGGGGAGCAGCGGCUCUAGGCCGUCUAGGCUUCCCAGAGAGGCUGAGUGGGCGGCUGUGGGCGGAUGCGGCCGCCAGCGACGCCCCCAGACCCGACCAAGGAGCCAGGGUGCAAAGGCACCACCCGAGGCCUGAGGAAGCGAGGCCUUCCGCUGACGCCAGAGCCAGGCGAGGGGGGAGGCUGCAGCCUGGAGGCCAGGGGGUGCGAGGAGGAGAGCAGGCAGAAGCAGAGGAUGGUGACCCAGGCUUCUGGGAGAGAAGAGACAGAAGCCAAAGAGAAUGGAAAAAUUACUGAGGCCCCAAGUGAUGAUCCACAGCCAGGGACUGACCUGGUAAGAAAGACAUCAAUAACCAGUUCGGAGUCUUUGCAAACAGUGGAGUGCAGUGAAUUUCAAAAUAUGGCUUUCUUACAGUCUUUGGAUAAGGAAGAAUUGGGAGAAGGUAUUAAAAGAAGAAUGCGAAUUAAAAAAUGUAAAAGUUUAG
rnacentral:lncRNA from 1 species